CACGUAGGGCGCAAGCGUUGUCCGGAAUUAUUGGGCGUAAAGAGCUCGUAGGCGGUCUGUUGCGUCCGCUGUGAAAACUCGGGGCUUAACCCCGAGCCUUCAGUGGAUACGGGCAGACUAGAGGUAGGUAGGGGAGAAUGGAAUUCCCGGUGUAGCGGUGAAAUGCGCAGAUAUCGGGAGGAACACCGGUGGCGAAGGCGGUUCUCUGGGCCUUACCUGACGCUGAGGAGCGAAAGCGUGGGGAGCGAACAGG
rnacentral:rRNA from 1 species